GACGAACGCUGGCGGCGUGCCUAAUACAUGCAAGUCGAACGGUAAGGCCCUGCUUUUGUUGGCUGCUUGAGUGGCGAACGGGUGAGUAACACGUGAGUAACCUGCCCUUUAGUUUGGGAUAACUUCAGGAAACGAUAGCUAAUACCGGAUAGGAGCUCCUGUUGCAUGGUGAGGGUUGGAAAGUUUCAGUGGCUGGGGUUGGACAGGCGGCUUAUCAGCUUGAUGGAGGAGUAGUGGCUAACCAAGGCCAUGACGGGUAGCCGGCCUGGGAGGGUGACCGGCCACAUUGGGCCUGGGAAACGGCCCAGAGGGAUACGUGGGGCAGCGGUGGGAAAUAUUGCGCAAUGCGCCGAGGCCUGGAGCAGCGACGUCGCGUGGGAAAUCACGGCUUUCGGGGUAUAAACAGCUUUAGACUGUGACGAAGAGAGUGUGACGGUAACGGAUAAAGAAGCACCGGCUAACUACGUG
rnacentral:rRNA from 1 species